rnacentral:rRNA from 1 species
UACGAAGGGGGCUAGCGUUGCUCGGAAUCACUGGGCGUAAAGGGUGCGUAGGCGGGUCUUUAAGUCAGGGGUGAAAUCCUGGAGCUCAACUCCAGAACUGCCUUUGAUACUGAAGAUCUUGAGUUCGGGAGAGGUGAGUGGAACUGCGAGUGUAGAGGUGAAAUCGUAGAUAUUCGCAAGAACACCAGUGGCGAAGGCGGCUCACUGGCCCGAUACUGACGCUGAGGCACGAAAGCGUGGGUAGCAAACGGGG